GAUGAACGCUGGCGGCGUGCCUAAUACAUGCAAGUCGAGCGAACAGACGAGGAGCUUGCUCCUCUGACGUUAGCGGCGGACGGGUGAGUAACACGUGGAUAACCUACCUAUAAGACUGGGAUAACUUCGGGAAACCGGAGCUAAUACCGGAUAACAUGUUGAACCGCAUGGUUUAACAGUGAAAGACGGUCUUGCUGUCACUUAUAGAUGGAUCCGCGCCGCAUUAGCUAGUUGGUAAGGUAACGGCUUACCAAGGCAACGAUGCGUAGCCGACCUGAGAGGGUGAUCGGCCACACUGGAACUGAGACACGGUCCAGACUCCCACGGGAGGCAGCAGUAGGGAAUCUUCCGCAAUGGGCGAAAGCCUGACGGAGCAACGCCGCGUGAGUGAAGAAGGUCUUCGGAUCGUAAAACUCUGUUAUUAGGGAAGAACAAAUGUGUAAGUAACUAUGCACGUCUUGACGGUACCUAAUCAGAAAGCCACGGCUAACUACGUG
rnacentral:rRNA from 1 species